rnacentral:rRNA from 1 species
UACGGAGGAUCCGAGCGUUAUCCGGAUUUAUUGGGUUUAAAGGGUGCGCAGGCGGGGGAUUAAGUCGGCGGUGAAAUUUUGCAGCUCAACUGUAAAAGUGCCUUCGAAACUGGUUUCCUUGAGUGUGGAUGAAGUAGGCGGUAUUUGUGGUGUAGCGGUGAAAUGCAUAGAUAUCACGAGGAACUCCGAUUGCGCAGGCAGCUUACUAAGCCAUAACUGACGCUCAGGCACGAAGGCGUGGGGAUCAAACAGG